rnacentral:rRNA from 1 species
AACCGUGUACGUACAAGCAGUGGGAGCACAGGUUUACCUGUGUGACUGCGUACCUUUUGUAUAAUGGGUCAGCGACUUAUAUUCUGUAGCAAGGUUAACCGUAUAGGGGAGCCGUAGGGAAACCGAGUCUUAACCGGGCGUUAAGUUGCAGGGUAUAGACCCGAAACCCGGUGAUCUAGCCAUGGGCAGGUUGAAGGUUGGGUAACACUAACUGGAGGACCGAACCGACUAAUGUUGAAAAAUUAGCGGAUGACCUGUGGCUGGGGGUGAAAGGCCAAUCAAACCGGGAGAUAGCUGGUUCUCCCCGAAAGCUAUUUAGGUAGCGCCUCGUGAAUUCAUCUCCGGGGGUAGAGCACUGUUUCGGCUAGGGGGCCAUCCCGGCUUACCAACCCGAUGCAAACUGCGAAUACCGGAGAAUGUUAUCACGGGAGACACACGGCGGGUGCUAACGUCCGUCGUGAAGAGGGAAACAACCCAGACCGCCAGCUAAGGUCCCAAAGUCAUGGUUAAGUGGGAAACGAUGUGGGAAGGCCCAGACAGCCAGGAUGUUGGCUUAGAAGCAGCCAUCAUUUAAAGAAAGCGUAAUAGCUCACUGGUCGAGUCGGCCUGCGCGGAAGAUGUAACGGGGCUAAACCAUGCACCGAAGCUGCGGCAGCGAACGUAUCACCCAAGACAACUUUACGGAGUUGACGAUUGACGGAGCGAAGCGACGUCAAAGCGUUCAUUAAAGUCGAGUUGGCUUAGGGAUACGUUCGUUGGGUAGGGGAGCGUUCUGUAAGCCUGUGAAGGUGUGUCGUGAGGCAUGCUGGAGGUAUCAGAAGUGCGAAUGCUGACAUAAGUAACGAUAAAGCGGGUGAAAAGCCCGCUCGCCGGAAGACCAAGGGUUCCUGUCCAACGUUAAUCGGGGCAGGGUGAGUCGACCCCUAAGGCGAGGCCGAAAGGCGUAGUCGAUGGGAAACGGGUUAAUAUUCCCGUACUUGGUGUUACUGCGAAGGGGGGACGGAGAAGGCUAUGUUGGCCGGGCGACGGUUGUCCCGGUUUAAGCGUGUAGGUGUGUGUUCCAGGUAAAUCCGGUU